rnacentral:piRNA from 1 species
UGAAAAUAGAGGUGAUCUAGCCUGUGAGUC